rnacentral:rRNA from 1 species
UACGUAGGGUGCGAGCGUUAUCCGGAAUUAUUGGGCGUAAAGAGCUCGUAGGCGGUUUGUCACGUCUGCUGUGAAAGCUCGGGGCUUAACUCCGAGUGUGCAGUGGGUACGGGCAGGCUGGAGUGCAGUAGGGGAGACUGGAAUUCCUGGUGUAGCGGUGAAAUGCGCAGAUAUCAGGAGGAACACCGAUGGCGAAGGCAGGUCUCUGGGCUGUUACUGACGCUGAGGAGCGAAAGCAUGGGGAGCGAACAGGA